rnacentral:rRNA from 1 species
GGUUAAGCGACUAAGCGUACACGGUGGAUGCCCUGGCAGUCAGAGGCGAUGAAGGACGUGCUAAUCUGCGAAAAGCGUCGGUAAGGUGAUAUGAACCGUUAUAGCCGGCGAUGUCCGAAUGGGGAAACCCAGUGCAAUUCGUUGCACUAUCGUUAACUGAAUACAUAGGUUAACGAGGCGAACCGGGGGAACUGAAACAUCUAAGUACCCCGAGGAAAAGAAAUCAACCGAGAUUCCCCCAGUAGCGGCGAGCGAACGGGGAGCAGCCCAGAGUCUGAAUCAGCUUGUGUGUUAGUGGAACGGUCUGGAAAGUCCGACGGUACAGGGUGAUAGUCCCGUACACCAAAAUGCACAGGCUGUGAACUCGAAGAGUAGGGCGGGACACGUGGUAUCCUGUCUGAAUAUGGGGGGACCAUCCUCCAAGGCUAAAUACUCCUGACUGACCGAUAGUGAACCAGUACCGUGAGGGAAAGGCGAAAAGAACCCCGGCGAGGGGAGUGAAAAAGAACCUGAAACCGUGUACGUACAAGCAGUGGGAGCACCUUCGGGUGUGACUGCGUACCUUUUGUAUAAUGGGUCAGCGACUUAUAUUCUGUAGCAAGGUUAACCGUAUAGGGGAGCCGCAGGGAAACCGAGUCUUAACUGGGCGUUAAGUUGCAGGGUAUAGACCCGAAACCCGGUGAUCUAGCCAUGGGCAGGUUGAAGGUUGGGUAACACUAACUGGAGGACCGAACCGACUAAUGUUGAAAAAUUAGCGGAUGACUUGUGGCUGGGGGUGAAAGGCCAAUCAAACCGGGAGAUAGCUGGUUCUCCCCGAAAGCUAUUUAGGUAGCGCCUCGUGAACUCAUCUUCGGGGGUAGAGCACUGUUUCGGCUAGGGGGUCAUCCCGACUUACCAACCCGAUGCAAACUACGAAUACCGAAGAAUGUUAUCACGGGAGACACACGGCGGGUGCUAACGUCCGUCGUGAAGAGGGAAACAACCCAGACCGCCAGCUAAGGUCCCAAAGUCAUGGUUAAGUGGGAAACGAUGUGGGAAGGCACAGACAGCCAGGAUGUUGGCUUAGAAGCAGCCAUCAUUUAAAGAAAGCGUAAUAGCUCACUGGUCGAGUCGGCCUGCGCGGAAGAUGUAACGGGGCUAAACCAUGCACCGAAGCUGCGGCAGCGACACUAUGUGUUGUUGGGUAGGGGAGCGUUCUGUAAGCCUGCGAAGGUGACCUGUGAGGGUUGCUGGAGGUAUCAGAAGUGCGAAUGCUGACAUAAGUAACGAUAAAGCGGGUGAAAAGCCCGCUCGCCGGAAGACCAAGGGUUCCUGUCCAACGUUAAUCGGGGCAGGGUGAGUCGACCCCUAAGGCGAGGCCGAAAGGCGUAGUCGAUGGGAAACAGGUUAAUAUUCCUGUACUUGGUGUUACUGCGAAGGGGGGACGGAGAAGGCUAUGUUAGCCGGGCGACGGUUGUCCCGGUUUAAGCAUGUAGGCUGGUUAUCCAGGCAAAUCCGGAUAAUCAAGGCUGAGGUGUGAUGACGAGGCACUACGGUGCUGAAGUAACAAAUGCCCUGCUUCCAGGAAAAGCCUCUAAGCAUCAGGUAACAUCAAAUCGUACCCCAAACCGACACAGGUGGUCAGGUAGAGAAUACCAAGGCGCUUGAGAGAACUCGGGUGAAGGAACUAGGCAAAAUGGUGCCGUAACUUCGGGAGAAGGCACGCUGGUGUGUAGGUGAAGCCCCUGCGGGUGGAGCUGAGACCAGUCGAAGAUACCAGCUGGCUGCAACUGUUUAUUAAAAACACAGCACUGUGCAAACACGAAAGUGGACGUAUACGGUGUGACGCCUGCCCGGUGCCGGAAGGUUAAUUGAUGGGGUUAUCCGUAAGGAGAAGCUCUUGAUCGAAGCCCCGGUAAACGGCGGCCGUAACUAUAACGGUCCUAAGGUAGCGAAAUUCCUUGUCGGGUAAGUUCCGACCUGCACGAAUGGCGUAAUGAUGGCCAGGCUGUCUCCACCCGAGACUCAGUGAAAUUGAACUCGCUGUGAAGAUGCAGUGUACCCGCGGCAAGACGGAAAGACCCCGUGAACCUUUACUAUAGCUUGACACUGAACAUUGAGCCUUGAUGUGUAGGAUAGGUGGGAGGCUUUGAAGCGUGGACGCCAGUCUGCGUGGAGCCAACCUUGAAAUACCACCCUUUAAUGUUUGAUGUUCUAACGUUGGCCCCUGACCGGGGUUGCGGACAGUGUCUGGUGGGUAGUUUGACUGGGGCGGUCUCCUCCCAAAGCGUAACGGAGGAGCACGAAGGUUAGCUAAUCCUGGUCGGACAUCAGGAGGUUAGUGCAAUGGCAUAAGCUAGCUUGACUGCGAGCGUGACGGCGCGAGCAGGUGCGAAAGCAGGUCAUAGUGAUCCGGUGGUUCUGAAUGGAAGGGCCAUCGCUCAACGGAUAAAAGGUACUCCGGGGAUAACAGGCUGAUACCGCCCAAGAGUUCAUAUCGACGGCGGUGUUUGGCACCUCGAUGUCGGCUCAUCACAUCCUGGGGCUGAAGUAGGUCCCAAGGGUAUGGCUGUUCGCCAUUUAAAGUGGUACGCGAGCUGGGUUUAGAACGUCGUGAGACAGUUCGGUCCCUAUCUGCCGUGGGCGCUGGAGAAUUGAGGGGGGCUGCUCCUAGUACGAGAGGACCGGAGUGGACGCAUCACUGGUGUUCGGGUUGUCAUGCCAAUGGCACUGCCCGGUAGCUAAAUGCGGAAGAGAUAAGUGCUGAAAGCAUCUAAGCACGAAACUUGCCCCGAGAUGAGUUCUCCCUGAGACUUUAAGUCUCCUGAAGGAACGUUGAAGACGACGACGUUGAUAGGCCGGGUGUGUAAGCGCAGCGAUGCGUUGAGCUAACCGGUACUAAUGAACCGUGAGGCUUAACCUU